ACGAACGCUGGCGGCACGCUUAACACAUGCAAGUCGAACGAGAGAAGAGAAGCUUGCUUUUCUGAUCUAGUGGCGGACGGGUGAGUAACACGUGAGCAAUCUGCCUUUCAGAGGGGGAUACCGAUUGGAAACGAUCGUUAAUACCGCAUAACAUAAUUGAACCGCAUGAUUUGAUUAUCAAAGAUUUAUCGCUGAAAGAUGAGCUCGCGUCUGAUUAGCUAGUUGGUAAGGUAACGGCUUACCAAGGCGACGAUCAGUAGCCGGACUGAGAGGUUGAUCGGCCACAUUGGGACUGAGACACGGCCCAGACUCCUACGGGAGGCAGCAGUGGGGAAUAUUGCACAAUGGAGGAAACUCUGAUGCAGCGAUGCCGCGUGAGGGAAGAAGGUUUUAGGAUUGUAAACCUCUGUCUUCAGGGACGAAAAAUGACGGUACCUGAGGAGGAAGCUCCGGCUAACUACGUGCCAGCAGCCGCGGUAAUACGUAGGGAGCGAGCGUUGUCCGGAAUUACUGGGUGUAAAGGGAGCGUAGGCGGGAUCGCAAGUCAGAUGUGAAAACUAUGGGCUUAACCCAUAAACUGCAUUUGAAACUGUGGUUCUUGAGUGAAGUAGAGGUAAGCGGAAUUCCUAGUGUAGCGGUGAAAUGCGUAGAUAUUAGGAGGAACAUCAGUGGCGAAGGCGGCUUACUGGGCUUUAACUGACGCUGAGGCUCGAAAGCGUGGGGAGCAAACAGGAUUAGAUACCCUGGUAGUCCACGCCGUAAACGAUGAUUACUAGGUGUGGGGGGACUGACCCCUUCCGUGCCGCAGCAGACGCAAUAAGUAAUCCACCUGGGGAGUACGACCGCAAGGUUGAAACUCAAAGGAAUUGACGGGGGCCCGCACAAGCAGUGGAGUAUGUGGAUUAAUUCGAAGCAACGCGAAGAACCUUACCAGGUCUUGACAUCGUAUGCAUAGCUCAGAGAUGAGUGAAAUCUCUUCGGAGACAUAUAGACAGGUGGUGCAUGGUUGUCGUCAGCUCGUGUCGUGAGAUGUUGGGUUAAGUCCCGCAACGAGCGCAACCCUUACUGUUAGUUGCUACGCAAGAGCACUCUAGCAGGACUGCCGUUGACAAAACGGAGGAAGGUGGGGAUGACGUCAAAUCAUCAUGCCCCUUAUGACCUGGGCCUCACACGUACUACAAUGGCUGUCAACAGAGGGAAGCAAAGCCGCGAGGUGGAGCAAACCCCUAAAAGCAGUCUUAGUUCGGAUUGUAGGCUGCAACCCGCCUACAUGAAGUCGGAAUUGCUAGUAAUCGCAGAUCAGCAUGCUGCGGUGAAUACGUUCCCGGGCCUUGUACACACCGCCCGUCACGCCAUGGGAGUCGGUAACACCCGAAGCCUGUAGUCUAACCGCAAGGAGGACGCAGUCGAAGGUGGGAUUGAUGACUGGGGUG
rnacentral:rRNA from 1 species